CUAGAGAAGUGUUACCUGUGCUGGACCAUGUACAAGUCUUCUGGAAUGNAGCAUCGUAGAGGGUGAGAAUCCCGUCUUUGACAUGGACUGCCGGUGCGUUGUGGUAUGCUCUCGAAGAGUCGAGUUGUUUGGGAAUGCAGCUCAAAAUGGGUGGUAAAUGCCAUCUAAAGCUAAAUAUUGGCGAGAGACCGAUAGCGAACAAGUACCGUGAGGGAAAGAUGAAAAGAACUUUGGAAAGAGAGUUAAACAGUACGUGAAAUUGCUGAAAGGGAAACGCUUGAAGUCAGUCACGUCGGCUAGGAAUCAGCCUUGCUUCUGCUUGGUGCACUUUCUGGUUGAUGGGUCAGCAUCAAUUCUGGCCGCUGGAUAAAGUCACUGGGAAUGUGGCAUCCUUUCUUGGAUGUGUUAUAGCCCUCUGUCGCAUGCAGCGGUUGGGAUUGAGGAACUCAGCACGCCCUGCAAGGGGCCAGGUCUUGACCAUGUCCGUGCUUAGGAUGCUGGCAUAAUGGCUUCAAUCGACCCGUCUUGAAACACGGACCAAGGAGUCUAACAUGCCUGCGAGUGUUUGGGUGGAAAACCCGUGCGCGCAAUGAAAGUGAAAGUUGAGAUCUCUGUAAAGGGAGAGCAUCGACGCCCGGACCAGACCUUCUGCGACGGAUCCGCGGUGGAGCAUGCAUGUUGGGACCCGAA
rnacentral:rRNA from 1 species